rnacentral:lncRNA from 1 species
GGGGUAUUGUCAACGGACCGAAGGGCUCCUGAUGGCAGAGGUUCAUCUAUGAAGACCUUGACAGUGUCUGCCUCUAGUGCGGCCGGUUCCAUUCCAUGGUGGAGUGCCCAACGGAUGGAGAGGAGAGGAGCUCUAUGGCUGACCUCUGCUUGGAGAACAUGGUCCAAGCUAGAGGAGAGGAGGUUGGAGCAGAUGGUGGGCCGUGCAUGGGGCCUUGGCUUCUUGCCAUCCGACACUGAUUGCCCGAGCUGGGGAUGACGGGAGGCAUGGG